ACCGCCACGGUGACUUGCAAGCAACUCACUGCACUUAGGCACUGGACUACCUGAAUUUCUAAUUCAGUGAUGGAAGGCUGCUGGGUGUAGUCAAGUACUUGACUUGUCGAUGCGUGUGUCAAGAUGGGAUUGACCACUCCAGUUUAGGAGCUGUGUACAGUCGUAUUUCAAUUUAGCAAAACCUUGGCCAGGAUAGUCCUAGUGAGGAGUCACAGGACUAAUUGAGUUGAGC
rnacentral:lncRNA from 1 species